rnacentral:lncRNA from 1 species
ACGGGAAUGAAAACUCCCGGAUUAGUAAAGCCAGCCUUGGUGGUGAAUACACACGUGCUAACACCAUCACCACCAAAAGAAGAGUACUGGGUGUCCUGUGACACUACAACAGUUAUAGCCAUCACUGGGCCACAGGAAACUUUCAUCUCCAUGGUAACCUGAUAGGAGCGGAGUCAUACACGCAGUGGAAGUGUGUGCUCUGGACUCUCUCAAGGCAAAGCAGCAAGGUCUUCUCAGAGGUGGAGCUGUCGCUAAGGGCAAGGAAGACACAGAACUGAGACCUUUAUCUCCAUUUCUAUUCCUUGGAACUGCAACUUCUCCAGCCUGUGGUCUUCAACUAAAAAUAAAAAACAGUCCUUGGUGGGUUGGGA